rnacentral:rRNA from 1 species
GACGAACGCUGGCGGCGUGCCUAACACAUGCAAGUCGAGCGGAGAACGACGAGCAGCUUGCUGCAAGUUGUUCUUAGCGGCGGACGGGUGAGUAACGCGGGGUUUCAAUCUGCCUCAAACAGGGGGAUAACACAGGGAAACUUGUGCUAAUACCGCAUAAAACCACAACAUGGCAUCAUGAAGUGGUCAAAGGAAGAAAUUCCGGUUUGAGAUGAGCCCGCGUCUGAUUAGCUAGUUGGUGAGGUAACGGCUCACCAAGGCGACGAUCAGUAGCCGAACUGAGAGGUUGAUCGGCCACAUUGGGACUGAGACACGGCCCAGACUCCUACGGGAGGCAGCAGUGGGGAAUAUUGCACAAUGGGGGAAACCCUGAUGCAGCGACGCCGCGUGAAGGAAGAAGGCCUUCGGGUUGUAAACUUCUUUGACCAGGGACGAAAAAAUGACGGUACCUGGAGAACAAGCCACGGCUAACUACGUG